ensembl:lncRNA
UCUGAAUGUUUAAAUGUAAAUCAGAAUUUAUAGAACUUCUGAAUACAUAAAUAUGAAGCUGAAUUUAUAAAUGUAAAGCUGAAUAUUGUCACAGUUGAGCUCUGUGGCAAACGAAGGAACGAGCAGACAAGGAUAAACUUAAAUAGUCUUUUAAUAAUCCAAACUCAAAACUCCAGGGAACACAGGACAGGCAGAGACACACAGGAACACAACAUCGACAUUACAAGUAGAACCGACAAACACUAACUGAAUGGACUGGGGCUUUUAAGCACAGGAUAUUCAAGGAGGAACAAGACACACCUGGAAUCAAAUUAACAGAAUCAACAGGAGACAGAAACUGGGUCACGGAGCACAUAAGGAGCAAAAACAGACACAAAACACGGGACAGAGUCUGACAUGACUCCCCCCUCCCGGAAGGAGCAUCCUUGUCCCACACAUCUAAUUUUUAAUAAUAAAACUCAUUCAUCUAUCAAAGCAACAAAAAUCAAAAGCAGCAUUUCACGCUAAACUGUAGCUCUAAUGGUCUCUUUAUCUCUCUGGUCUAAAUGAACCGUUAUCAGGACUGUGGGCUGUUUUCUAAUCAUCACCCAUGAGAGAAAGCAACACUUCCUCAGGGAAAAAUGGCUAAGUGCUAGAUGACUUUGUCUUAAAAUAACCCUUUCCUCAGUAUCACAGGCUGUAGACACACUGAUUUGAUCAAGUAAAUCUCUUCACUAUCCCCACAUUCUCUCUUCAUAUAAGAGGAAAAAUGAGUGAAAGAGAGUGAGGAAGUACGAAACAAAACCAACACACAACCGGUUACCCUAUUGGUCAGUGCAAUGCAAACAGACUCUGGUGAGAAACUCCAUUACUGAUAAUGGUCUGUGUUUGUGCCGGCUGUUGAAGAAUCAGCAUGGCUAAUUGACCUUGCUGAGUCCCAGCAGGCAAUGGGCUCCGUGUCAGCAGAGCAGGGAAGGACAUUAUCUGAUUUCACACAGUUUGAUGCGCUCAAUGACACACAGAAUGACUGUUGUUCCUGUGAACUCAUAUGACAAAUAUUCAUGGAAUGAGGCCAAGAUAAAUAUAUCAGAGAAAACAGAAUAUAUAAGCUAUAUGCUUUUUGCGAUCAAAAUAGUGAAUAUGUUGCAUUCAGCACAGCUUUUAAACGCACUGAAUGUAUCCAGGACUGCUAUAUCCAGAUUCCAACUAAUCUUUUUUAGCACUUUUAAUCCUACUACACAUUGGACUUCUGGGACUUCUUAUUACUUCGAGUACUCUGUGCUUUGCCUUGAAAGGUGUAAAUUGAUCUGUUGCCUUCAGGAUUUGAGCUCUCACAGAUGGUGGAUAACUGAUGCUACAUUGGGAUGGGCUGUGCAGCUGUUAUCGACUUUUGCAGAGAGAAAUGCUGCCAAGAAAUACUACCUUUUCUCCACUAAUCUCAUUCAAACUACCUGUCACGGUCAGUUGCAUUGCUAGUGUUAAAUUGCUUACAGUUAUUACUGAUAAGAAGCAUGUCUGAUAAAAAGAACCAAUAUGGUAGGCUGUACAUUCCCUGGGCUGAUUUGAUGAUUGAAUGAAUGCUAAUAAAUUGUCUUCACUUUGAGUUUAGAAUAAAAAAUCCAAAC